AUGGAGAAAGCCUCGAGCGCCGCGGCCAUCAUCGUCCUCCUCGCCUCCGCCACCCUCGUCCCGGCCGCCAUCGCCCAAGUAUGCCCGCCGCUGCGACCAGGCGAGCAAACCCACGGCAACAGCAGCAACAUAACGAGGUUCGUGUGCAACAUCCAGGACCGCAUGGGGAACAAGGACUUCGAGAUGAGCUUCGCCUGCAACAACAAGAUGUCCUUCGACCUCAACGACGGCGGCUCGACCACGUCGCUGUGCUACAACGGCGUGCUCGGCCGGGCCGCGCCUCCGCCGCCAGCCAUUGGGUGGAGCAGUCCGCAGCAGCUCAACCCGCCUAGCCCCAGGGUGAUAACAGGGUGGUGA
rnacentral:rRNA from 1 species